GAAAAAAAGGAACUUUCUGUAGAAGAAAGUCGUAAGAAUUCCUUAAGGAGCAAUAAAGAUGGAGAGUAUACGAUGUCCCGUGGUAUCGACUUUUUGGAUGUGGAAUGGGUUAUUAACUUUGACUUUCCAACGCACGCCAACGCCUAUAUACACCGCGUGGGUCGUACAGCACGUGCAGGAAAGCAUGGAAAUUCUUUAUCUUUUUUAUCGAAAGAAGAAGAUAAAGAAGUUCUGAAUAAUAUUGAAACAUUGUUAAACGCACAUGAAGGAGGCGUUCUUCAGCCUUAUAAAUUUCCUUUUGCCAAAGUUGAGCGCU